CCUACGGGAGGCAGCAGUGAGGAAUAUUGGUCAAUGGGCGUAAGCCUGAACCAGCCAAGUCGCGUGAGGGAUGAAGGUUCUAUGGAUCGUAAACCUCUUUUAUAAGGGAAUAAAGUGUGGGACGUGUCCUGUUUUGUAUGUACCUUAUGAAUAAGGAUCGGCUAACUCCGUGCCAGCAGCCGCGGUAAUACAGAGGAUCCGAGCGUUAUCCGGAUUUAUUGGGUUUAAAGGGUUCGUAGGCGGCCUGUUAAGUCAGCGGUGAAAGUCUGUGGCUCAACCAUAGAAUUGCCGUUGAAACUGGGAGGCUUGAGUAUGUUUGAGGCAGGCGGAACGCGUGGUGUAGCGGUGAAAUGCUUAGAUAUCACGCAGAACCCCGAUUGCGAAGGCAGCCUGCCAAGCCAUGACUGACGCUGAUGCACGAAAGCGUGGGGAUCAAACAGGAUUAGAUACCCCGGUAGUC
rnacentral:rRNA from 1 species